GAUGAACGCUGGCGGCGUGCCUAAUACAUGCAAGUCGAGCGAACAGACGAGGAGCUUGCUCCUUCGACGUUAGCGGCGGACGGGUGAGUAACGCGUAGGUAACCUACCUAUAAGACUGGGAUAACUUCGGGAAACCGGAGCUAAUACCGGAUAAUAUUUCGAACCGCAUGGUUCGAUAGUGAAAGAUGGCUUUGCUAUCACUUAUAGAUGGACCUGCGCCGUAUUAGCUAGUUGGUAAGGUAACGGCUUACCAAGGCAACGAUACGUAGCCGACCUGAGAGGGUGAUCGGCCACACUGGAACUGAGACACGGUCCAGACUCCUACGGGAGGCAGCAGUAGGGAAUCUUCCGCAAUGGGCGAAAGCCUGACGGAGCAACGCCGCGUGAGUGAUGAAGGUCUUCGGAUCGUAAAACUCUGUUAUUAGGGAAGAACAAACGUGUAAGUAACUGUGCACGUCUUGACGGUACCUAAUCAGAAAGCCACGGCUAACUACGUG
rnacentral:rRNA from 1 species